rnacentral:rRNA from 1 species
AUAUCAAUAAGCGGAGGAAAAGAAACCAACAGGGAUUGCCUCAGUAACGGCGAGUGAAGCGGCAACAGCUCAAAUUUGAAAUCUGGCUUUUCGGAGCCCGAGUUGUAAUUUGUAGAGGAUGUUUCGGGUACCGCAACGACUUAAAUUUCUUGGAACAGAAUGUCAGAGAGGGUGAGAGUCCCGUCUGGAGUCGCGGUAGGGCCCAUGUGAAACUCCUUCGACGAGUCGAGUUGUUUGGGAAUGCAGCUCAAAAUGGGUGGUAAAUUUCAUCUAAAGCUAAAUAUUGGCCAGAGACCGAUAGCGCACAAGUAGAGUGAUCGAAAGAUGAAAAGCACUUUGAAAAGAGAGUUAAACAGUAUGUGAAAUUGUUGAAAGGGAAGCGCUGGCAACCAGACUUGCGUACGGAGGUUCCCCCUCGCUUCUGCUUGGGCUACUCCUCCGUGUCCAGGCCAACAUCGGUUUUGGCGGUCGGUUAAAGGCCCUGGGAAUGUAUCUUCCUCCGGGAAGACUUAUAGCCCAGGGUGUCAUGCGGCCUGCCGGGACCGAGGAACGCGCUUCGUGCUCGGAUGUUGGCGUAAUGGUUGUCAGCGA